CAAUCUGUGGUCGACAGUGAACUGUGGUUCAUCAGGAGACUCUGACUUUCCAACCAACAUCUACUAAUUUACAUGAGAGCUAUGAGGUGUAUCGUUUGUCCCAAAAACUUCUGAAAAAAAAAAUAAAUAAAUAAAUAAUAAAAAGAAAAAGAAAGAAAGAAAUAGCUAGAGAGAGUCCAUGGAAGAAAACAAUGUUAGUUUGAAACUUCUGAUAGACAGAGAGAGCCAAAGAGUGCUUUUUGCUGAAGCAGGCAAGGAAUUCAUCGAUUUCCUCUUUCACAGUCUGGCCCUACCCAUCGGAACUUUCGUUCCGCUUUUCGAAAAGCAAGGAAUACAGGGCAGCUUCGGCAAUAUUUACGAGAGCAUUGAAAAUUUAGGCAGUAUUUACCUUCAACCAGGCGUGAGCAAAGACAAUCUCCUGAAGCCCGAAGUACACAUAUCUGGUGGUGGCGCUGGACUCCCUCUUCUAUUGCAAAACAUUGAAUCAUCAUCGACAUUCAUGAAAUUGUAUAGUUGUUCUAGAAAAAGAUGCGUCUGUGACUCAUAUCUGGCUUAUGACUUAAGCGCAAUCUGUCCUUCGUGCGGAAAUGUUAUGAACCACGAGAAAAAUAUGGUAGACCCACCAACUCCAAGCGCAAGUACUGAGAGAGGGUACGUGACAGGGCUGGUUACAUACAUGGUGAUGGAUGAUCUAGUGGUGAAACCCAUGUCAACCACCUCUACUAUCACUCUGCUUAACAAGUUCAAUGUCCAGGAAUUUGGGGCUCUAGAGGAGAAAGUUGUCAAUUUGGGCAUGGAUGAGAAAAACGAAAUUACAAAGGCAAAGAAAACAGCACCAGCAGGGAAAGGAGCAGCCAACCGACUAAGAACUAUCCAUUUGGAUUAGGUGUCGGACCAUCGGGGGGGAACAUCCCUUCCACACUUGACUAGCAGCACUACAUCUAGCAUGAUGAGCAAGCAUAUGGGCCACCCUAUUGUGCUCUCUUCUCAGGUGGCAUAGCUUCCAACACCUAAAAAACUUAAGGAGGUCCUCAUUUCAGGGAGCGAAGAUAUUGAAGGCUUCUCUAUACUCAAAGACUGUUCUAACUGAUGUCUUCCUCUCGAAGUUGAAACAGGAAGUCAAACGUGAGAUACCUUUAUUUUGUUGAUGUUUGAUGAAUGGAGGCUGGGUUUCUCUGGUUUCGUGGGUUCCUCCAUCUCUAUGUUGAUGGUUGAUUUAUGCGGUAGUUUUUGGCUAAUUUGGAUUUUUGACAGUGGUUGUGGGGGGUUGUUUUGGGCUUGCUAGUUGUUGUUGGGUGAUUGUUCUUGGUUGGAAGUGGAUGUGGAUUGUGCCUUU